AGGGGUGGGCGGGAUUGCGAGAAGUGCAGAUGGGCUGAGUCAUCCCCCUGGUGGAGUUAACUUCAGGAAGAGUCCCCUUCCGAGCUGAAUUACGUGAAGCAGAAGACGAGAGAGAUGGAAGGAAGGGGACGAAGAAGAACCGGAGCUUUGAUCCCUACAACUUCUAGAUUCUUUAACAAACGGGAGAGGCUCCUUCAGGAGGCGGCUUCAUCUCCACACACGAAUAUGCCCACCCCAGUUACGAAAAGCUCCCUCCGCCACCCUGGUAAGGGGGGGGGGUCGCCCCGGUCGACAGCAACUACCGCGGUCAACUCGCUCGCCACUGCUUCUUCGAAGCGCCCUUUUCCCGACGUACCCGAAGGAGACCACAGUAGCAGCGGCAGCAACAGCUGGACGGCCCCGCGUACCAUCCCUCGCCGGUGACCGGCGGCCGCGGAAGCUCCUCCUCCUCCUCGCUGCGGCUCUACAGGGCAGCCUCAGGCUUCGCCUCCCGGAGGAGAGCGGGAGAAACAACAGGCACCAAGUUGAUAUUACCAUCUCCAGCUGAAAGGUAUACCAGGAGAGGGAAAUUUGGUGGAAGAAAUCUAGCAUACCACGUGGAAGAAUCCAUGAGAUGUUGUAAUCUUUGAGACUGCAGGAAUCCAAAGAGUUUCAAUGGGGGUGUUGCUGGACAAAGAAAAUGACAGAGCUUGCCUAUUUAGGCAUGCUAUUUCAAAACAGAGAUGCUGUAAAGUGCUACUUCCACUAAUUUGUUUUUUAUAUCUGCCAAUGUAAAUACCAAAGGCAUUAGGAAGAAGGGGAAUUUUUGUGAGCAGGAAAACACCCGUUUCCCCCAUAGCUACCUUUUAACAUAUGACUAGCUUCCUGUAAUAGAAGGUUUGGGCUGUAUUCCUAACUCCACUAACAUGGGAGUAAGCUCCUUUUAAUCACUGGGACUUAUGUCUAAAUAGUCAGGGUUAGCAUUGAAGUUUCAAGUGACAAGGACCCUGUCCAGAGGACUCACAAUCUACAUCUACCAAUAAAACCUGGAGAAAUUAGUGUUGUUCUGAGGUAUGAGGUUACCCAAUUAAAAAUCAGGCCACUGUGUAUUGUACUUGCUGUUCUGUGAAGCUCAAUAUACUGUGAUAUAAAGUUUAAGCUUCUCAUAUUUUAUUUCUCCCCAGAAAAAUAUAAAGACUGGGGGGUGAAGAUUUGGCUGGUAUAUGUAUCUAAGUUUUUUAAAAUUCCAAUCUCUUUUGAGUUGCUGUGUGCUUCCUCCCUUUUCAUCUGUUAUUCAGCUUCUGAGCUGCUCUGUUUAAACUAAUCUGUGUUUCGCAUUCACUAUAACAGGGAAUCUGAAACAAAUAUAUCUUUCCCCCCUUUUGGCCCAAAGUGGAUGAAAUUUACUGGCCCAUGAGCCCUCCAGAGUGGAUUAAGCCUGCCAAGUGGCAUCCAAAUAGGCCCAAGGGCAUUUUGUGGGGAAAGUAAAGGAAUUCACUUUCCUCCAUAAUCCUUCAUGGGGACGAGGGAGCUGGCAUAGCUUGGGCCCCUCAAGGAUUCUGCAGGACUUUAGAUCCAGCAGAUUUAAAGCUGCCAGUGCCCUGAAAUGCCCAGUUUGGGGACUGUCCACCUGCUAGUACUGGUAGCAGAAUCGCUGGUGGUCACUUUCUGCCUACUCAGGCACAAUGGGGGGCCUCUGCCACAGCAGAGCCCACACACACACCAGUGGCACUCCUGUCUGCCAGCCUAUUCCAACAGGUCUUCCCAGAAGUAUGAUCCUGGUCUGGUCACUAUUAAUGUUGGAAAAGUAUAAUUUUAUUUUUCAUUGGUUUACAUCUGGUAAUUUAUAAUUGUAUUGUUUUAAUAUAUUGUAUUUAUACAUUACUUUAAGGUUCUUUUCAGUAUCAAGCAAUUAAGAAAUGUUCUAAAUAAAUACUUAAGAAAUGUUCCAUACAUAAACAUCCUUCACUCAUCUUAGGAUCCAGGCCAUUAUCUAUAAUGAAGUCCUCAGAAAAAAGCAGGUUGCCCUAGAUUGUUCUUUCAUGUUGCCUGAUGCUCUUUGGAUGUGACAACUGGAUGGGAUGUACCAAGGCCUGGUGUUUAUGUCUGCCUGUUUGCACAGAAGUUACUACAGUGUAUAUGUUCUGUACUCUGCUUUAAAACUAAGCUGAAACAGAAAACUCAAAAGUCCACCUGCCCACACAUACCUAUGCUAGCAAUCUGUUGAACAGAAACAGCAAGGGGAGGAGCGGGACUAAGCAUUUCUCCAGUAUACAAAUCCUUCUCUGUCUGGUUGCCUGGAAUAAAUUCUUAAACACCACCAGUGACCAGACUUCUCUGUUUCUAAGCCUGAACAAAGCACAGUGCCACUUAUUCAAAGAUGAAUAUUUGUUCUGUAUAUGUUCUGUACUCCGCUCAAAAUUAUUAGACUUGUAUUUGUAUUGGGAGAAAAUAAAGAGUCA